UGUAUUUGGUUGGACCAGCUUGUUGCGGGGAGGGCGGGGGAAGAUUGUUUGCAGCGGAGAUCCGCGCACGGGAAGCUCCUCAGAGACUCUUAGCCAGCAGCCUCUGCUCAGGCCCAGCCUUCUCUCUCCAGUUGCCACCACAGCCUGGAGGCGCCUGCCUCCGCCCUCCCGAAUGGUGCUCCUCCUCGCAGGCCUCGGCCCAGGAUCCAGGCCCCCUUUGCCCCCCGCCUCGGAGCUAUUGCUCCGGGUCUCUCCUGGUGGACUCCCUGUGACGGGGAGGGAAGGACUUUUGCAUAUACAAAGCUAUAGCUCUUGGGACCCCACUGGCCACUUGAAUCUCGGCCUCUAACCGAGUCUGAGGUUCUUCUUGUGUCCUGUUUCCACCCUUUGAGAAGAGAAACCCUUCUUGCCACCCAGAGCCCAGGAAGCCCCAAGCUGGGGCCCUGGUCCCAGCAUGUCAGUCCUCUUUUAUGCUUAGGGGCUGUGCCUUCUCCCUGCCAGCAUGGCUGAACUCAGGCAGAUUCCAGGGGGGCGGGAGACCCCACAAGGGGAGCUUCGGCCUGAGGUUGUAGAGGAUGAAGUCCCUCGGAGCCCAGUUGCAGAGGAGCCUGGAGGAGGCGGAAGCAACAGCAGUGAAGCCAAAUUGUCCCCAAGAGAAGAAGAAGAACUGGAUCCUAGAAUACAGGAGGAGCUGGAGCAUCUGAACCAGGCCAGCGAGGAAAUCAACCAAGUGGAGCUGCAGCUGGAUGAGGCCAGAACCACCUACCGGAGGAUCCUGCAGGAGUCAGCAAGGAAGCUCAACACGCAGGGCUCCCACUUAGGGAGCUGCAUCGAGAAGGCCCGGCCCUACUAUGAAGCUCGGCGGCUGGCUAAGGAGGCCCAGCAGGAGACACAGAAGGCAGCACUGCGGUAUGAGCGGGCUGUGAGCAUGCACAACGCUGCCCGGGAGAUGGUGUUUGUGGCUGAGCAGGGCGUCAUGGCUGACAAGAACCGGCUGGACCCCACGUGGCAGGAGAUGCUCAACCACGCCACCUGCAAGGUGAACGAGGCAGAGGAAGAGCGUCUUCGUGGUGAGCGGGAGCACCAGCGGGUGACGCGGCUGUGCCAGCAGGCCGAGGCUCGGGUUCAGGCCCUGCAGAAGACCCUCCGCCGCGCCAUUGGCAAGAGCCGGCCCUACUUUGAGCUCAAGGCCCAGUUCAGCCAGAUCCUGGAGGAGCACAAGGCCAAGGUGACGGAGCUGGAGCAGCAGGUGGCCCAGGCCAAGACCCGUUACUCAGUCGCCCUGCGCAACCUGGAGCAAAUCAGCGAGCAGAUUCAUGCGCGGCGCCGGGGCCAGCCUGCUCAUACCCCGGGCCAGAGGCGCUCCUCUCCAGUGGGGGCGGAGGCUGGGCCUGAUGGUGGCGAGGAUGCGGACAGCGGGAUCAUUGAGGGGGCGGAGGGUGGAGGGCUGGAGGAAGGCGUCAGCCUGGGGCCUGGCCCUGCCCCGGACACCGACACGCUGAGCCUGCUGAGCCUGCGCACUGUGGCUUCGGACCUGCAGAAGUGCGAUUCCGUGGAGCACCUGCGGGGUCUCUCGGACCACACCAGUCUAGAUGGCCAGGAGCUGGGUCCUCGGAGUGGGGGUCGUGGAGGUCGCCACCAGCGCAGUAUCAGCCUGUAACCCCGUGCUCAGGGUGGCUGAUGCAUUCAUACCACCACUGGCCCAAGGAGGGCCCUGCAGGUUCCUAGCUCCCUCUCCUCGGGUCCUUGCUUCCCUCAGAGAGGGCAGGUUGGCUGUGUCUUGAGUCUGUUGUAUAUGUCCUGGCUUUCUCACCUGGCCCUGCCCCCCGCAGGUGGCAGCUCUCUUUGCCUUACCCUUUCAGAAGGCUUAUCUUUGGCUCUGACAUCUCCUUUCCCUGUGUUGGUCCUUCAUAGUCCGUCUGUCUGCUGCCCUCUUUCUGACUUCUGUCUGUUUUUUCCCCCUCAGGGAAAUUUGUCUGGGCGGCACAGGGAAAGCAUCAGAGAAGGUGGGCACUGGAUCUGGGUCCCAGCAUCUUGGUCCCCCCAGCUUGAGUGAAUGGAUGGGUCCCCCUCCCACCUACUCAUCUCCCAGGUGGUUCCUGGGAUGCUGCGGAACCCUCCAGCAGCCCAGCAGCCCAUCCUCUGUCCCAGCCUGCUCGUGGGUAACCUCUAAGAAGUGCUGCAGGACUGUGUGCCUCUGGAAGACACCACCCAUCCCUUCAGUAUUCCCUCCUCAUGACCGAAGCCACCUGUGCCUCAAAGCAGGACUUGAGGGAUACUGGUGUCAGGGAAGGUGAAGCCCAAUCCCAUUGUCAACAGAGGGGACACUACCAACUCCAAACAGGCUCCUGUGUGCGUUGCGUUUCCCCAGCUGGGCUGUGUCCAACAUUGCCAAGGUGCUAGUGGGUCCAUGUUGGGGGGGUGGAGAUGUAGUGAGGUUCUGACGGCUGAAGCUCUUCCCAUUUCUGCUGUGGAGUUAGGUCUGUUUACUUUUUCUGGGUAGAGGAUGCUGAGCCAAAUCUCAGCAUUCUUCUACAGGGUGGAGUUAGGGAAUUUGGUGCUCAAUUGCUCUCCCUCACUCUUCCCGAAACCAAACCAUACCUAGUCCAGGAUCUCUUGGGGGAUGCUCAGGUUUGGCUGCAGAACCUCUGCUGAUACAGGGCAGGGUUGGCCUGCGGUGAGGGAACCCACCCUCCAUAGGGAGCAGUUUCAGGUGUCUGAUGGCACUCCCAUGCUGUGUGGGGGAAAGGCAGGGAAGCUACACUGGAUCUGGGUGCCUUGGGGAACCGAUCCUCCUGUCCCACCCCAGGAGGGCUGAGAGCUGGACUCUGGACAGGAGAAUUUGUGCCUAGGCCUGUGUGCUGCUGCCAUCAACUAGGGGUGGGGGGUGGGGGGUGGGGAGCAGGCCUUCAAAUUGAGGUUGUCUCCCUGUCCCAGGGUUAAAACAGGAUGGUCAUGAUGAGAACUGCCAGGUUUGAGGUGGCCAUGGGUGGAGGGAAAAUGGAGGAGGACGUGGGCGUGCGUGCGUGCAUGCAUGUGCCUGUGUGUAUGGGGGGAAAGGGUCUGCCCCUGAUUUUAUUUAAAUAAAAUAGUUUAUGUAACAGUAUUGUUUAUUGUCCCUUUCAGGGGAGGGAAGAGGAGAAAGGGGUGAAGAUGGAGAGAAGGGAGGAGCAGGGUGAAUGAAGCAAGGUGCAUUUUGAUGGAGUAGUCAGGGAAGGUCUCUUGGGAGGUGAAGGAUGAGAAUGAUCAAACUUCCAGCCAUGAGAGGAGGGAAGGCUUAUGACCACAGGGUUGGGGUGAAUGCACACCAGGUCAGUGCUGUCUGGCAACACUCUCCCCCACCCCCCACAAUCACCAGUCUGCAAGCCAGGAAGGGAUCUCUGCAGGGUGGAGUGGGUGUGUCAGCCACUGGUGGUAUAGAUGAGAUGGUGCUGCCAAUCCUGGACAUGAGCAUAAAUAAAGGGGAGGGACAAGUAGGAUUAUGGCAUUUAGCAAAUAUACAGGGUGCCCAGUUAAACUUGAGUUCCAGAUAAGACAGUAUUUUUGCCUCCCUGCAGUGUUUAGGACAUACGUGUUGUCAAUUGUCUGAAAUUAAAAUUUAACAUAGGUAAAAGGUGACUUUCAAGUCAGGGCUUGACCUGUUGUGGAUCAGGAGGAGUUUGAGUACGUUUGGACCGGCAGCCUGUGAAACAUCUGGUGGAGUCAGGUUGGGGAAAAGAUAAGAACUUCAAAAGCUGCGGAGGUGGAGUGAAGGCUUUCAACUGAGCCCUACCAGAGGUGAGCCUGCAUUUAUAACCAGCUGAGGACCAAGUCAACUGAGGGAUGGAGAAGAUGCUAACAGGGAGGAGGAAGGGGAGAAACUGAGUGGGAAAUGGGUAUCUUGACCUUUAAGGGGCAAGGUGAAGGCCAGCAGUUAAAGGGACAGGAGGGCAGAGGAGUGACCCUGGUGAUCUUAGAUGGUAGAUAGGCCAUUAGGAGCCACUAUGUACCCUUUGACAAGAUUGUCCAGGUGUGAGACUGCCUUCCUGACCUGACUUCUUAAUUGAGAAAUAAAUGCAAUAAGGUAGUUGGGGGCCAAAUACUUGCUUUAUCACUGGAAAAGCUGCUCUGAGUAUAUGGCCUGUGUCCUUGGCCAAGUGGGUCCAGGGUCCUGCUUCCCUAUGCAGUCUAUGGCAGUGUGGGACCUGUAAGGCUUCUCAUUCAAAGGAGCCCCCAAAAGAAGGGCUGGCCAUGCCUACCAGUUUCUCUGUGCAAGAUCACCUACUAGAUGAGGCAAUAGUGGAGAGAGAACGGGAGGGUUAACACUAAUGGUUGAGCAGGGCAAAUGUGCCCACAGCCCUAUUGUAAGAGUAGUGGAUUGCACUGUGUGUCCCACGUACCAGGCAUAUGCAUUGACCCAUGUAGCACCAUGACCACAUUAAAGGGUAGAUAUCACCACUAUUGCCUUUUCAUAGAUGAGAAUACAGGCACAGUAGGGGUGCCCAGUCCUCUGCGCUUAUCCUUAUAGAAGGUAAUGGAGGCAGUUGGACUUUAGAGCAAGGGUCCCCAACCCCUGGGCCAUGGACCAGUACCGGUCUGUGGUCUGUUAGGAACCAGGCCACACAGCAGGAAGUGAGCAGCUUUGCUCUCGAGUCCAAACUCUUCAGCCUUUGAGUGAAGGUGCCAAAAGGAACUAGAGGUGAGAAAGUAGAGGGAAUAGUGUAGUCAACUCUUAGGAAGUUUUACUGGGAAGACAGAAAGCUGGGAACUGUCAGGAUGGUCAAAGGAAAUUAAAGUAAGCAAGAGAUGGUGAAGUAAUGGGGAUCUGGAGCCUUCUCCAUUUUUGUACCAUGUUACAUCAUGGUCAUAGUGAUAAUGACUUGUGAGUUAUGGCCUCCUCAAGUGAGCAAUGGGGCCUCAGUCUCCCUGGCACCCAUCACCUAAUAAAUGUGCUUUUGUGUCUCCCUGCCGUGAUCCAAAUCUAUAGCAGGUUAUAGGUGGUCCCUGACCUACAAUAAUUUUUUUUGAUUUUUUGACUACAAUGAUGAGAAAGCUAUACACAUUCAGUAGAAACUACUUCAGAUUUUGAGUUUUGUUGAUUUUUUUCACCUGGGGUUAGUGGUGUGUGGUAUGAUACUCUUGUGAUGCUGGACAGCGACCACAAGCUGUAGUUCCCAGUCAGCUGCAUGAUCAUGAGGGUGGACAACUGAUACACAUAGAACCAUUCUAUACUCAUACAGGCAUUCUGUUUUCCACUUUCAGUACAGUAUUCAAUAGGGGCUUCCCUGGUGGCUCAGGCGUAAGAAUCCGCAUGCAAUGCAGGAGAUGUGGGUUCAGUUCCUAGGUCGGGAAGAUCCCCUGGAUAAGGAAAUGGUAACCCAUUCCAAUAUCCUUGCCUGGGUAAUCCAUGGAUAGAAGAGUGGCAGACUACAGUCCAUGGGGUUGGAAAGAGUUGGACAUGACUUAGUGACUAAACAACAACAGUAUUCAAUAAACUACAUGAGUGUUUAAUAUUUUAUUAUAAAAUAGUCUUGUGUUAGAUGUUUUUGCCCAAUUGUAGGCUAAUGUAAGUGUUCUGAGCACAUUUAAGGUAGUUUAGGCUAAGCUAUGAUGUUCAAUCGGUUAAGUGUAUCAAAGUGCAUUUUUCACUUAGGAUAUUUUCUACUUGUGAUGGGUUUGUCAGGAUGUACCCUCCAUUGUAGGUCUAGGAAAAUCUAUACUUUGUUAAUACUGCAGUUAGGAGAUAGGGAUCUGUAUCUAUGGUCCUAGAAACUCCACAUCUCCAGGGGGUGGUUUUCAAAUUUAUGCUUCAAUUUUAUGACCUGUAUGAUGAGAAAAUCUAGAUGUGUUCAGUACAAUGCCAGAUCAGUGAUCCAUGUUAGCAGUUCUCUGAAGCUUCAUAAUGCAAUGAAAUUCACAAAGGGAGCCCUCUUCCCAUCUUGUGCCAAACCAGGAGGCCCUUUAUAAAGAUCCCACUGAAGGUUGGAUUUCCCCAUUUGGAUGUGAUUUUUGUAGUCUUCCUUACUCUGCCUUGCAUGUGGCAGGUAGAUGGGCUUCUUGGGCUGUUAUGGUCCUGCUCUGUCAGUAGGGGGCAGCAACCACCAGGAAGCCAGCGAAGUGAGCUCUUGGAUCUCCAGCUCUGCAGCAUUAUUGCGUUAGUCCUGCAGCAUUACGACGCUCGCCUCCUGGGCACUGGGCAGCAGGGACUGGGAGCAGUGGGGUGUGGGUUGGGGUCCAUACCCACGAGUUGAACCUUGGCUGUCCCCAUAUGGGCCUCUUGCCUUCCGGCUUGUCUUGGAAUCAGCAACUGGGUGAAAGCUGGGGCGAGUCUGCUGUGGGGCAUGUCGUUUGAGACCACAUGUUCUAUGCCUGUUGAAAUACUAGUGUCUCUUCUUAGAGCUCACUUCUUUUAUUUUCCUUUCUAGUGUUCUGGCCCUUUCCCUCCCUCACCCUUUUUCCACAUUACCCUCUUGGGAAAUCCCAUUGACUUUUCCCACCACACUGUGUCAUAGCCUAAACUAAGGGAACAAGGGGACCAUUUCACUGGUUGGCGAAAGUCCAUGUGAUUUAUUAAGAAAUAUUUGGGCUUCCCAGGUGGCAUUGGUGGUAAAGAACCCACCUGCCAAAGCAGGAGAUGUAAGAAACGGAAGUUCAAUUCCUGGGUUGGGAAGAUCCCCUGGAGAAGAGCAGGGCAACCCACUCCAGUAUUCUUGCCUGGAGAAUCCCAUGGACAGAAGAGCCUGGUGGGUUACAGUCCAUAGGAUCACAAAGAGUUGGACACAACUAAAGCAACUUAGCACAAGAAAUAUUUACCAGGAUCUUCCAGGUUGCCAAACACUGGUAGGGCUUGUUAGGAACACAGAAAAUAUACCAUGGGUCAGACAUACAGGUAAGGAAUACAGGGGUACACUUAGCUAAUAGAUGAUGCAGGGCAGUAAAAUAACAGAUCAUUAAAGAGGGAUGCAGUCAAGAACGCUCUGGGAGGUUAGUCGAGCUGAGGAUACUCAAGUUCUGAACCAGCCUCUGGCCUUUGGCUGGAGAUGGUAGCAGGAAGACCCACCGCACCCCCGUGCCCCCGCCUUCCAGUCCUCCCGUCCCUAUGCUUCACUCUUCUGAAAUCUGGCCUGAGCUUUUCUAGCCUGGGCCUGUGUCACCCCCAUGUUGGUGUUCUCAGGGCCUGGCUCAUGGCACUCUCCACUGAACAUUUGCCCCACAGGCUUGCUUAUACUCAUGCUACUCUUUGCAUACAUUUCCGCCCUGCUUAACUUAGAUUUCUGCCUGUGGCUUGAGGCCCAGCUCAUGUGGAAUUUUGACCAAAGGCCUUUCAGGUUUCCUAGCUUUCCAGCCAAGUCUGAAUUAAUCCUACCACCCAAGUUCCACAAGGCUCUUCUGACUUAAUGCAGCACUGGUCCAAUGUCACCCCUGGGGUCUUUCCUGACUCCAUCUUACUCAGUACAUAACAUAAUACAAUAGACAUUGUGACUAUAUGUUACUCAAUACAGUGAUUCUAUGUCAUGUAUGGUCUAAAGUGGGAUACUUGAGGGAAUUCCCUGCAGUCUAGUGGCUGGAACUCCAUGAUUCCACUGCAGGGGGCGCGGGUUUCACUCCCGGUCAGAGAACUAAGACCCUGAAACCCACAUGGCAAAAAAAAAAAAGAAAAAAAAGGAGACUUGAGUGUGAAAGGGGGGAAGAUGUGACCCAAGACUGAAAGGUACUGAUCCCACUGUCCACAGAGGGCUGUCAUUGACUUGCCUUUGCCAGAAGGGGCUGUGUGCACAUUGCAUGAGCAACUUAGCUUCUCUGGGAUUUGGUGUUCCAGUCUGCAAGAAGUGGGUCUGAACUGGGUAGAUAAUCUCUGAGGUUAUCAGAAACACUGAAAUUAUAUGACCAGUGAAGGAGACUGGGCCUGUCAGAGAUGUUUCGGUGGAGGAUGUGAUACAGUGAAUGUGUUGGGGUCAGCGCAUGAGAACUCCAAGACUAGGGUUGAUUAAGGCCUAACCCAGAGUUAGUGGAAAGAUGCUGGACAUUUCUGUUUUGAGUAUGAGGAGAUGACUGUCCAUUGUGGUCAAGGAACUUGGAAUGGUGGGCAGUGGUUUCUCCUUCCCCAUGUGAGGCAGGUGGUGGUUGCAACACAACAGGGACAUAUCAGCUUAUUCAUCGAUGUAGGUCAGAAGAGAGGGUGGAAAAAUGAUUUUUUUCCCUCAUUUAGGACAGGGGAUCAUUGUGACCUAGGAUGGGAUAAAGGUCAGAGCUGUGGAGUUUGGCAAGACAAGGCAAACUCUUCUUUCCUCAGUUGCUGCUUCAUCUCACAUGCUUUCUGUCCUUUUUCUUCUCUCCUUAUGAUUUCCAUGACAACAUUAGAAGGGCAGGGUCCUCUCCAUAUCCAACAGGAGGGAAUUUCAUUCUUGCCUUCUCCAGAGGUGAUGCAGGAAUUCUUACAAGUGUUGUGGGGCUGUGGGAGUAGUGAUUUGUGGAAGCUCCUGGCAUGAAAGGCUUCCUGGCUUUUAGGACUUGCCGCUAUUUAGGGGGAAGAUGAGAGGCCCUCACCUAACAUCACUCUCCCUCCUUCUAACCUCAGUGUUGCUGCUGUGGUUUCAGCCUCCCACUCUUCUUGGAGAGAGAAGCCAGAAACCCACCUGCCCCUUUACCCCUGGGUGUGUGUGUGCGUGCUGAGUCACUUCAGUUGUGUUCAACUCUUUUCAAUGCUAUAGACCAUAGCCCACCAGGCUUCUCUGUCCAUGGGAUUCUUCAGGCAAGGGUACUGGAGUGGAUUAUCAUGCCCUUCUCCAGGGGAUCUUCCUGACACAGGGAUCAAACCCUUGUCUUAAGUAUCUCCUGCAUUGGCAGGUGGGUUCUUUACGACUAGCGCCAUCUGGGAAGACCAAACCCCUGGGUGGGAGUGUGCACUCCUGCUCUCCUCCCAUUUGUCCUUCUUCUAGCUGAUCCUUACUCAACCCCUGCUUUCAUGUUGGACAGGAUUUCCAAGACUUCUAAUUACAAGUCACUGCUGCUCUCUCAAACAGUUGUACUUAGCAUUCGGACUGUGGCUACCCAGUUGGAAGGGACCCGUCAAGAAAGGCAUGAGGCCUUAGGAUGGUCACCCUUAGAGAGGAAAGCUAUGUGUUCACAGCACCAACAAAAACCAAACUCAAGGUUAAAGAAAAUUGCAGCCAGGGUGAAUUCAAGACAUAGGCAGAGCCCAUGGAAGACAUAGAGGAGAGAGGUUGCCAUCCCAGGAAAUUCUUGCAUUCUUUCUUGGAAGUAGCUAUUCUAUUACCAGAAGAGGACCAAGGGGGAUGUUCCUUAGGACAUGCCCAAGGACCUUUUGGCAGUUCUGCACAAAGAGGAUUUAAUUGCCUGAGGAUUUGUAUGCUGGAACCCAAUCAAAGCUGAACAAGCCACUUUUUAAUCAAAACAGUGUUGUUUUCAUGAGUUCUUACGGGAUCUAAGAAUUUUGUGCAUGAAAAUGUCAGUGCACUGAGAAAAGAAAAAAUAUUUGCUUCUCACCUGUCCUUCACCUUAAACAUAGCUCAGUAGGGAGAUAUCACCCAGAGACUCUGGCCCAAAGAGGAUUCUUCUAGAAACCUUGUUCCUAAAGUAGAUUUGUCAGACAAGCAGCAUAAAUAUCACCUGGAACUUGUUAGAAAUGUGUGUUCUCAGGCCCCAGCAUUCCAGACGUACUGAAUCAGAAAUUCUGGGGGUGGCACCAGGACCUACUAAACAAGCCCUCCACAUGAUUCUGGUGCUCCCUGGAGCCUAAUAGAAAGGUAUAAGGGAUGUGUUAAAUGCAUGUGGGGGUCCUUAGAUUUGCACUUCAUUUACCUUUUAUUUGCCAAAAUGAGUAACUUGGCCUAACUUUAAAGGAGUGGGAAGUACAAUUUACAGUGUGCCCUGGAAGUGGGAGUUCUGGGUGUUUUAGGCCAUGUAUGUGCAUGUGUGCUAAGUUGCUUCAGUUGUAUCCUACUCUUUGUGAUUGUAUGGGCCAUAGUCUGCCAGGCUCCUCUGUUCAUGGGAUUCUCCAGGCAAGAAUACUGGAAUGGGUUGCCUUGCCCUCCUCCAGGGGAUCUUCCUGACCCAGGGAUCAAACCUGUGUCUCUCAUGUCUACCUGCAUUGGCAGGUGGGUUCUUUACCACUGGCACCAACUGGGAAGCCCAUUUUAGGCCAUAGAUAGUGUUAAGUAACAAAAAUUCAACUGGGUAAGUUUCCAAGAUCUAAUUGGCUUUAUUGAAUGAAUCGUCAAUCACUCAGCAUCUCAUCUAGCAAGCAGAAAAGGGCUGCAGGAUUGGAAGAAUUAAUAGUCUUAAAAUGGUCAUACUACCCAAAGCAACAAAGGUUCGUCUAGUCAAAGCUGUGGUUUUUCCAGUAGUCAUGUAUGGAUGUGAGGGUUGGACCAUAAAGAAAGCUGAGUGCCAAAGAACUGAUGCUUUUGAACUGGUGUUGGAGAAGACUCUUGAGAGUCCCUUGGACUGCAAGGAGAUCCAAGCAGUCAAUCCUAAAGGAAAUUGGUCCUGAAUAUUCAUUGGAAGGACUGAUGCUGAAGCUGAAGCUUCAAUACUUUGGCCACCUGAUGCAAAGAACCGACUCAUUGGAAAAGACCCUGAUGCUGGGAAAGAUCGAAGGCGGGAGGAGAAGGGGACAACAGAGGAUGAGCUGGUUGGAUGGCAUCACCAAUGCGAUGGACAUGAGUUUGAGUAAGCUCCAGGAGUUGGUGAUGGACAGGGAGGCCUGGCAUGCUGCAGUCCGUGGGGUCGCAAAGAGUCAGACAUGACUGAGUAACUGAACUGACCCAAAGCAAUCUACAGAUUUGAUGUGAUCUUUGUCAAAUUACCCAUGACAUUUUUCACAGAACUAGAACAAAUAAUCCUAAAACUUAUAUGGAACCAUAAAAGACCCAAAAUUUCCAGUGGAAUCCUGAAGAAAAAGAACAAAGUAGGAGGCAUAACCCUCCCAGACU